rnacentral:rRNA from 1 species
CAGUAGCCACGGUAAUUCGAACCGUGCGAACGUUAUUCGGAAUUACUGGGCUUAAAGCGCGUGUAGGCGGGCCGCCACGUCGGUUGCUGAAAUCCCCCGGCUCAACCGGGGAAGUGGCAUCGAUACGAGCGGCCUUGAGGGGGGUAGGGGGAUCUGGAACUCCCGGUGGAGCGGUGAAAUGCGUUGAGAUCGGAAGGAACGCCCGUGGCGAAAGCGAGGUCCUGGACCCUUUCUGACGCUGAGACGUGAAAGCCAGGGGAGCGAACGGGAUUAGAUACCCCUGUAGUCCCUGUCUCUUAUA